rnacentral:rRNA from 1 species
AACGAACGCUGGCGGCAGGCUUAACACAUGCAAGUCGAGCGGGAUUGGUAGCAAUACCAUGAGAGCGGCGCACGGGUGCGUCACGCGUAUGCAACCUGCCUUAUACACGGGGAUAGCCCAUGAAAACGUGGAUUAAUAUCCCAUAGGAUUUUGGAAUCGCAUGCUUUUAUGAUUAAAACUACGGUGGUAUAAGAUGGGCAUGCGUCUGAUUAGGUAGUUGGCAGGGUAACGGCCUACCAAGCCGACGAUCAGUAGGGGUUCUGCAGGGAGUACCCCCAACACUGGAAGAGAGACACGGACCAGAAUCUUAAGGGAGGCAGCAGUGAGGAAUAGUGGUCAAUGGGCGAGAGCCUGAACCAGCCAGGCCGCGUGCAGGAUGACGGCCAUAUGGGUUGUAGACUGCUUUUCUGCUGCAAGAAACCUGAUUACGUGUAAUCAGUUGACGGUAGAGUAGGAAUAAGCAUCGGCUAACUCCGUGCCAGCCGCCGCCGUAAUAC